AGGAUAAACGCUGGCGGCGUGCCUAACACAUGCAAGUCGAACGCCCUACGCAAGUAGGGAGUGGCGGACGGGUGAGGAACACGUGGGUUAUCUGCCUUUCGGUGAGGAAUACCAGCGAGAAAUCGCUGACAAUACCGCAUACGGUUCUUUCGAGAGAGAGAACGAAAGUCGCAAGACGCCGGGAGAUGAGCCUGCGCCCGAUUAGUUAGUUGGUGGGGUAAAAGCCUACCAAGACUGCAAUCGGUAGCUGGUCUGAGAGGACGAUCAGCCACACUGGGAUUGAGAACGGCCCAGACUCCUACGGGGGGCAGCAGUGAGGAAUUUUCGUCAAUGGGGGAAACCCUGAACGAGCAACGCCGCGUGCAGGAAGAAGGUUUUCGGAUCGUAAACUGCUUUUCUGUGGGAAGAGAACGGACGGUACCACGAGGGAAGAAGCCCCGGCUAACUACGUGCCAGCAGCCGC
rnacentral:rRNA from 1 species